rnacentral:rRNA from 1 species
CAAAGGAAGCGAUUCCGGCGGGGGAUGGGCAUGCGGCGCAUUAGCUAGUCGGCGGGGUAACGGCCCACCGAGGCGACGAUGCGUAGGGGUUCUGAGAGGAAGGUCCCCCACACUGGUACUGAGACACGGACCAGACUCCUACGGGAGGCAGCAGUGAGGAAUAUUGGUCAAUGGGCGGGAGCCUGAACCAGCCAAGUCGCGUGAGGGAAGACGGUCCUACGGAUUGUAAACCUCUUUUGCCGGGGAGCAACGGGGUCCUUGCGAGGGUCCAAUGAGAGUACCCGGAGAAAAAGCAUCGGCUAACUCCGUGCCAGCAGCCGCGGUAAUACGGAGGAUGCGAGCGUUAUCCGGAUUUAUUGGGUUUAAAGGGUGCGUAGGCGGGCUGUUAAGUCAGCGGUCAAAUGUCGGGGCUCAACCCCGGCCUGCCGUUGAAACUGGUGGCCUCGAGUGGGCGAGAAGUAUGCGGAAUGCGUGGUGUAGCGGUGAAAUGCAUAGAUAUCACGCAGAACUCCGAUUGCGAAGGCAGCAUACCGGCGCCCGACUGACGCUGAGGCACGAAAGCGUGGGUAUCGAACAGGAUUAGAUACCCUGGUAGUCCACGCAGUAAACGAUGAAUGCUAGCUGUCCGGGGCUUCGGUCCUGG